AGCCGGGAGCUGCGCGGCCGCGCUGAGAGUCACGUGGUGCGCCGGGAAGCCGCCCAGCUUUUUGGAGAGCUCACUGCCUCGCUCCGCUCCUUUCCUGGCGGGAGGCUCUGAGCCAUCCCCACCUGCGCAGGGCGGCCAGGGGUUAAAACAAAGUCACAAGUCUGACCCACACAGGGAGAAGAUUAUGCAAGAGCAAAAGCACCAGAUGGAAACCAUGGGGCCAUCUUAUAGUCUGUCUGCCGCAGAAAGAUGAACACAAAUCCUCGUGCAGAAAAGUGUGACACUAAAAGAACCAACCUGAUACUACUAUCCUUAGAAAAGCCUGCAUACAAGGUUGGCUGUCAUCUGGGAAUGUAGGUGAUCAAGAGUUCUCUCCACUGACGUAAACUUUCUUUAAAUAAUAAGGAUGACUCAUUGUGACUAGACUAUGCAAAUAAUGGGAUGUGUGUUAAACAUCUCCUUUCCUUCUGGGAGUCUGGAAUUUUGGUGUAUGCUAAACAGUGGGUGCCUGCAAGACCAGCCUCAAAUAAAAACCCUGGGCACUGAGUCUCUAAAAAGACUCCCAGUAGGCAAUAUUUCACACGUGUUCUCACAACUUACUGCUGGAGGAAUUAUGCACGCCUUGCAUGACUCUAUUGGAAAAGGACUCUAGGAAUCUUGCACCUGAUUCUUACCGACUUCUUCCCAUAAUCUUUUUUUUCCUUGUAUCCUUUCCAUGUAAUAAACCUUGGCCAUGA